ACAAACGCUAAACAUAUCUUAAAUAAUUCUAGUUGUAUUUACAAACAAAUGGUACUGUUGUCAGGAUGAUUAUUUACAUAGAAUAUGGUGGUGUUUUCUUUUAUACACAAAAUUGUGUAUGCUCGUGUAUAGUAGAAUGUAAACAAUAAUGGUAGCUCAGAAUUGUCAGGGGAAACAUAGAAAAGACACACAAUUUGAUAUAGUCGAGUUUAGUACAAUGUAAACAAGAAGGUAUUUCAGAAGUAGAGAGAUACAAAAUCAUAAAAGUGUGUACACAUACUAGAAUCAUGCUGAUUGCGAACAAAGUACAAAUUAAGCAGCAGAAUGUCUUCUUUAGCAUUGUUGAUGCUCAUAAUUGAGUGUCACCUACUAUAUACAGUUUGUUAUGAUUGUGAAAAUCCUGACUUGCCUAUGGAAAAUGGAUUGUAUGUUAUUAAAAAUGUCGAGGCACGUACAUUAUGUACUUAGUGUUUUGAAAAUCA